rnacentral:snRNA from 1 species
GUGCUUGCUUUGGCAGCACAUAUACUAAAAUUGGAUGGAUACAGAGAAGUUAGCACGGACCCUGCAUAAGGAUGACAUGCCAAUUUGUGAAGUGUUUCAUAUUUUU